UAAGAACUUCUUUUCUCUCACUUAAACCCAGACCUUCUUUGAACAUCAUUCGAAUCUCAGCCUCAGCUAACUCAUACCAUACCCAUCGAACCCCAUAUCUCCCAUGUCAUCAUCUCACUCUCAACGAUGAGAUACAAAACAUCAUUUGCUGGAGUCCACAAAUGCCGAACUCUCUCCCUAGUCCCUAACCUCAUACCUUCAUCGAUCUAUCUCUCACCUAACCCAUCAUUUGAACGCUCUCUCUCUCUCUCUCUCUCUCUCUCUCUCUCCCUCGUUGAACUCUAAUUGAAUCAAUUGAUUGAAACCCCCCAUCUUUCAGAAAUCAAUUGAACCCUAAUUUGAUUAAUCAAAUUCUAUGUGAGGCAAUUGGUGAACACAGUCUUCCAUUGAUAAGAAGGGAUGUAUUGGUUAGGGAUGUUUGGUGUGAAAUAACCUGCAGAAUUUUGCAGUGGUGGAUCAGAUUUGUGUUGUUUUGUUGUCUCGGUUCUGUUUUGGGGUGGGAGUGAUCUAGAAUUGCUUGUGUUGUUUCGUCGUUUGGAGUCAAUUGAGGGUUUCAAUUGAGUCGGUUUUCUGAUCUGCCAGUAGUAUUGGUU